rnacentral:tRNA from 1 species
GUCUUAUUACGAUGGAAGGCUGGUUAAACCGUUUGGUUUUCGACCACUAUGACCCGGGUUCGAUUCCCGCAUUGGACA